GGAAACGUAACAUUGAAACCAAAUCAGCUUGAACUCAAGUGUGUGAUUUUUGUCUUCACCUGUUCACUCUGACCCGCAUUGUUGCAGGAAGGGAGGAGCUUCUCGAUCAUCUCACCAAUCAUUUUGAAGGUCGGUCUGUCUGUCGGCUCCAGAUUCCAACACAGAGUCAUCAGCUGGUACCUGAAGCGGAGCCACCGGAGAUGAUUGACAGCAGGAGAAAACAGAACGUCUUCAUCGCCAUCUUCUUCAAACUGACUGACACUCAAGCGGCUCAACUUCCUGCCAGAUGUUGGCUCCGCCCCCUGCUUACAGCCUCAGACCUCCAACAGCAGUCCUGACAACCAGUUGAGGCCACGGAGGGAUUCUCAUAGGCAGCUUUCCCCCUGCUCCUCGCCGCCGCCUGAUGCCGUCACUUCAUCAGCUCUGAACACAACACAGACAGCCACCUCUUCAAAAUCAUCCUCAUCGUCACCACCAUUAUCAUCAUACCUGUCUGCGUCCUGCGCAGCGCCGCCGUGAAGCUCCACGCUGACCGGCGUGAUAUAGGCGCCAUUAGAGGGACCCGCCUCCUCCAGGUGAACUGUCACUUUGGGGUCUUGGCUUCCUGUUUGCGCCGGGAGGCGAGCAUUGACUUGACAAACGUCCUUGUUGGAGGUCAAAAUCAUGUCUCACCGCUCGCGCCGGUCGGCCCGUCGGCGGGUGCGGGCGUCAACCCGGGUGGCGCGACAGCCGGAUGGUUGCGUGUCAGGAAGUCAUCCGUCAGCCCGGCGUAUAUCUGGGGGAGGGCAGGAGGAGGCGCUUGAAGUGAGACGCAACUUUUAAGGAAGCGGUCCUAACGAGGUCACCACCUUUCUGUAGUCAUCAGUCAACAUGAGGUCGAGAGAGGCCACUAACGAUGAGAACGGCGGUCUGGACCCGGACCGCACGCACCAACACGUCUUCAUCAAGUCGUAACUGAACACACCACAUUUCACGUGUCAUACAAUGUUGUUGUCAU